CCUACGGGAGGCAGCAGUGGGGGCUAUUGCACAAUGGGGGAAACCCUGAUGCAGCGACGCCGCGUGGGCGAAGAAGUAUUUCGGUUUGUAAAGCCCUAUCAUCAGGGAAGAAGAAAUGACGGUACCUGAGUAAGAAGCACCGGCUAAAUACGUGCCAGCAGCCGCGGUAAUACGUAUGGUGCAAGCGUUAUCCGGCUUUACUGGGGGUAAAGGGCGCGCAGGCGGCACGGCAAGCCUGAUGUGAAAGCCCGCGGCCCAACCGCGGGACUGCAUUGGGAACUGCCGGGCUGGAGUGCCGGAGAGGUAGGCGGAAUUCCUAGUGUAGCGGUGAAAUGCGUAGAUAUUAGGAGGAACACCAGUGGCGAAGGCGGCCUACUGGACGGUGACUGACGCUGAGGCUCGAAAGCGUGGGGAGCAAACAGGAUUAGAUACCCCUGUAGUC
rnacentral:rRNA from 1 species